GUGCUCCCUCGCGCGCCCACCUGCCCGACCGGCCACCCGCCCAGGAGCCCCACUGGACCCCAGGGAAUAAUCCCCCCCAGCACUCAUAGAGGUAAGGAGGCUGGGGGGAUUAUAUAAAAAAAAAAGAAAAAAUCAUGUGUGAGUGUUAGUGUGAGUGUGUGUGAGUGUUAGAGUGAGUGUGAGUGUUAGAGUGAGUGUUAGUGUGUGUUAGUGUGUGUGAGUGUUAGUGUGUGUGAGUGUUAGAGUGAGUGUUAGUGUGUGUCUGCUAGUGAGUGUUAGUGUGUUAGUGUGUGAGUGUGUUACUGUGUGUGUCUUACUGAGUGUGUGUGUGUUAGUGAGUCUGUUUGAUGUCUGUUAGUGAGUGCGUGUUUGUCAAUGAGAGUGUAUGUUUUGUAAGUGAGUGUGUAUGUAUGUCUGUCGCUGACUGUAUCUCUGUCAGUAAAUGUGUGUGUCUGUUAGCUAGUGUGUAUGCGUCUGUAAG